GCCCCGUCAUGGAGGGGAGGACAGUGCUCAUUUGCUCAUUUUACCUGAUUGCAGUUUGUACCAAAAUGCGUGUUGUGGUUUUCAGCGUAUUAUUCUUGAUGUAUUUAAGAAAUGUUCAAUCCCAAGUGUCCCUUCUCGAAUCUGGUGGGGACGUGAAGAAGCCCGGAGAGGAUCACCGUUUGACCUGCAAAUACUCCGGGCACGACUUUCGGGACUAUACUAUCCAGUGGGUCCGGCAGCAGCCCGGGAAGGGACUCGAGUGGCUAGUCCAGGUCCACAGUGACUCCAGCAAAACAUAUUACUCCCCCUCAGUGAAGGGUCGAUUCCACGCCUUCAGGGACAACUUCCAGAACGUGGCCCUUCUGGACAUGAACAACCUGAAACCCGAAGACAGCGGUGUCUAUUACUGCGCUAGAGGCAUUGAACGCACGGAAAGAGAGCACGGUGAUCUGAGUGAAUUACAGGCUCACACACUAACCUUGCUCAACGCACUGCUUUAUACGUUGUGAAUUCCCAUAAUUUAACCAUACCUCAACUGUCCCCAAAUUGCAGAGCAUCCCUCGUUUUGUUUCUCUGUUCCUCCUAACAUUCUUGACUUUCUGGUAAAAUUGCUGUGAAUUACAGUCACUCUGUAGUGCCAGCCACUGUAGUGCAGAAAAUACACGCGGGAGCAAAACGGAUUGCUCUAUUAACUUUUAAGUGAAUUAGACUAAUAUUUAGAGUUGACCUUAAGCCUUUGUCCCAUACCUCUCAACUGUCCAGACUUUCACAGAAUGUUGAUUUUUGUCUCAUAUGUUCCCAGAGUGGCCAUGGUAGUGCAGCGAUUUGGUGCCUUCUGUGUGGAGUCUGCAUGU